CAGUCGCCACGGUAAUACAGAGGGUGCAAGCGUUAAUCGGAAUUACUGGGCGUAAAGUGCGCGUAGGUGGUUUGUUAAGUUGGAUGUGAAAUCCCCGGGCUCAACCUGGGAACUGCAUCCAAAACUGGCAAGCUAGAGUAUGGUAGAGGGUGGUGGAAUUUCCUGUGUAGCGGUGAAAUGCGUAGAUAUAGGAAGGAACACCAGUGGCGAAGGCGACCACCUGGACUGAUACUGACACUGAGGUGCGAAAGCGUGGGGAGCAAACAGGAUUAGAUACCCGCGUAGUCCCUGUCUCUUAUAC
rnacentral:rRNA from 1 species